AUUGAACGCUGGCGGAAUGCUUUACACAUGCAAGUCGAACGGCAGCACGGACUUCGGUCUGGUGGCGAGUGGCGAACGGGCGAGUAAUGUAUCGGAACGUGCCCAGUCGUGGGGGAUAACGUAGUGAAAAUUACGCUAAUACCGCAUACGAUCUAUGGAUGAAAGCGGGGGAUCGCAAGACCUCGCGCGAUUGGAGCGGCCGAUAUCAGAUUAGGUAGUUGGUGGGGUAAAGGCCCACCAAGCCAACGAUCUGUAGCUGGUCUGAGAAGACGACCAGCCACACCGGAACUGAGACACGGUCCAGACUCAUAUGGGAGGCAGCAGUGGGGAAUUUUGGAUAAUGGGCGAAAGCGUGAUCCAGCCAUUCCGCGUGCAGGAUGAAGGCCCUCGGGUUGUAAACUGCUUUUGUACAGAACGAAAAGGUUUCUACUAAUACUAGGAGCUCAUGACGGUACUGUAAGAAUAAGCACCGGCUAACUACGUGCCAGCCGCCGCCGUAA
rnacentral:rRNA from 1 species